GACGAACGCUGGCGGCGCGCCUAACACAUGCAAGUCGAACGAGCGAGAGAGAGCUUGCUUUCUCAAGCGAGUGGCGAACGGGUGAGUAACGCGUGAGGAACCUGCCUCAAAGAGGGGGACAACAGUUGGAAACGACUGCUAAUACCGCAUAAGCCCACGACCCGGCAUCGGGUAGAGGGAAAAGGAGCAAUCCGCUUUGAGAUGGCCUCGCGUCCGAUUAGCUAGUUGGUGAGGUAAUGGCCCACCAAGGCGACGAUCGGUAGCCGGACUGAGAGGUUGAACGGCCACAUUGGGACUGAGACACGGCCCAGACUCCUACGGGAGGCAGCAGUGGGGAAUAUUGCACAAUGGGGGAAACCCUGAUGCAGCGACGCCGCGUGGAGGAAGAAGGUCUUCGGAUUGUAAACUCCUGUUGUUGAGGAAGAUAAUGACGGUACUCAACAAGGAAGUGACGGCUAACUACGUGCCAGCAGCCGCGGUAAAACGUAGGUCACAAGCGUUGUCCGGAAUUACUGGGUGUAAAGGGAGCGCAGGCGGGAAGACAAGUUGGAAGUGAAAUCCAUGGGCUCAACCCAUGAACUGCUUUCAAAACUGUUUUUCUUGAGUAGUGCAGAGGUAGGCGGAAUUCCCGGUGUAGCGGUGGAAUGCGUAGAUAUCGGGAGGAACACCAGUGGCGAAGGCGGCCUACUGGGCACCAACUGACGCUGAGGCUCGAAAGUGUGGGUAGCAAACAG
rnacentral:rRNA from 1 species